GAUUGAUAAAGAAUAACAUAAAGUUUUACACAUAACAAAAACAAUCUUUUUAUCAAUUUCUUAAAUCAUGAAGUAUGCUAUUUCAGUUGUUUUUUUGUGCGUUCUCAUGUCUCACGUUUCGAACAUUGUCAAAGUGAAUGGCCAAAACCCUUACCCUUUGUGUAAAUGGUAUCGUCGACUUCCUGGAAAAUGCAGCCCUGAUGGAAACAAGAAGUGCCAUGUCGAAGUACAGCGACCACGAGAACGAGUAAAUCAAAAAUUUGAGAGUUGCGAAUGUACAAACAGAAUUGUUCAGAAGAAAGACCAUCAUGACUGCAAUUGUGCUGUUAAGGCUCCUUGUCGUUAAACCUAAAGACAACAAGACUGCUUUUGUUAUACAAAACCUCUUUGUCCAUAAUACACUAUUACAAAAUAAAAUAGAUUUACCAAUAAAUAAGAGAGGUGAGUUUUUAUGCUUAUAUAUAGUUGAAAAUAUAUUGUCAGUCUAUAUUAUUCUAAAUGUAUAUUUUUUACUAUAGGAACUAAUAAAUUUAUGAAUUAAUUA